rnacentral:rRNA from 1 species
GACGAACGCUGGCGGCGUGCUUAACACAUGCAAGUCGAACGGAAAGGCCCUGCUUUUGUGGGGUGCUCGAGUGGCGAACGGGUGAGUAACGCGUGAGUAACCUGCCCUUGACUUUGGGAUAACUUCAGGAAACUGGGGCUAAUACCGGAUAGGAGCUCCUGCUGCAUGGUGGGGGUUGGAAAGUUUCGGCGGUUGGGGAUGGACUCGCGGCUUAUCAGCUUGUUGGUGGGGUAGUGGCUUACCAAGGCUUUGACGGGUAGCCGGCCUGAGAGGGUGACCGGCCACAUUGGGCCUGAGAUACGGCCCAGACUCCUACGGGAGGCAGCAGUGGGGAAUAUUGCACAAUGGGCGGAAGCCUGAUGCAGCAACGCCGCGUGCGGGAUGACGGCCUUCGGGUUGUAAACCGCUUUCGCCUGUGACGAAGCGUGAGUGACGGUAAUGGGUAAAGAAGCACCGGCUAACUACGUG